GAUAUCAACUGAAAAAGUCAUCAACAACAAAGUUGAAUAACUCAUCAAUAUCUAAAACUUUUAUUUUGGUCAUUUCUUCAUACGACAAAGUGAUAGUAACAUUGUUCACAAAAUUGACAUAUCUCUUAUUUGGUUUUAUAAACUAUAACACAUAUAUGUAAAAUUUGUGAAUAAUAUUACUAACAUUUCGUCAGAUGAAGAAAUAACAAAAGUAAAAGUUUUAGAUCUUGAUGAGUUAUUCAACUUUGUUGUUGAUGACCUUUUCAAUUGAAAUC
rnacentral:pre_miRNA from 1 species